rnacentral:rRNA from 1 species
AUACGGAAGGUCCGGGCGUUAUCCGGAUUUAUUGGGUUUAAAGGGAGCGCAGGCGGAGAUGCAAGCGUGACGUCAAAUUUCGGGGCUCAACCCCGUCUCGCGUCGCGAACUGCGUCCCUUGGUUGCGGGAAGGGGAGGCGGAACUCGGGGUGUAGCGGUGAAAUGCAUAGAUAUCACGAAGAACUCCGAUCGCGAAGGCAGCCUUCCGGCCCGUCAACGACGCUCAUGCUCGAAGGUGCGGGUAUCAAACAGGAUUAGAUACCCUGGUAGUCCGCACAGUAAACGAUGGACACCCGCGGUUUGGCCUGUAUGGCUGAGCCGCCAAGCGAAAGCGUUAAGUGUCCCACCUGGGGAGUCCGCCGGCAACGGUGAAACUUAAAGGAAUUGACGGGG